rnacentral:rRNA from 1 species
CGUGGCGUGAGUCGUCUGCUUAAUUGCGAUAACGAGCGAGACUCCAACUGCUAAAUACACUGAUGAUUGUUUUGUCGUUAUGUGUUCUUAGCUGGAUUCGCGGCUUCAAGUCGCAAGAAAUGGAGCAAUAACAGGUCUGUGAUGCCCUUAGAUGUUCGGGGCGGCACGCGUGCUACAAUGAUGACAACAGCAUGCUUGUGCUCGACCGACAGGUCUUGCCAAACAUUUGAGAUGUUAUUAUGGCUGGAAUUGAGUGUUGAAACUUUCUCUCAUGAACGAGGAAUUCCAAGUAAAUGCAAGUCAUCAACUUGCAUUGAUUACGUCCCUGCCCUUUGUA